AGAGUUUGAUCCUGGCUCAGAACGUACGCUGGCGGCACGCCUAACACAUGCAAGUCGAACGAAGUAGCAAUACUUAGUGGCAGACGGGUGAGUAACAUGUAGGUAUCUGCCCUUUGGCCUGGAAUAACACGAGGAAACUUGUGCUAAUACCGGAUAAGUCUUUACGGAGAAAGCUUUAUGCACCAUUGGAUGAGCCUGCACUUGAUUAGUUUGUUGGUGGGGUAAUGGCCUACCAAGACUGUGAUCAAUAGCUGAUUUGAGAGGAUGAUCAGCCACAUUGGGACUGAGACACGGCCCAAACUCCUACGGGAGGCAGCAGUGGGGAAUCUUGCACAAUGGAGGAAACUCUGAUGCAGCGAUGCCGCGUGAGUGAAGAAGGCCUUUGGGUUGUAAAGCUCUUUCGUCGGGGAAGAAAAUGACUGUACCCGAAUAAGAAGGUCCGGCUAACUUCGUGCCAGCAGCCGCGGUAAUACGAAGGGACCUAGCGUAGUUCGGAAUUACUGGGCUUAAAGAGUUCGUAGGUGGUUGAAAAAGUUGGUGGUGAAAUCCCAGAGCUUAACUCUGGAACUGCCAUCAAAACUUUUCAGCUAGAGUAUGAUAGAGGAAAGCAGAAUUUCUAGUGUAGAGGUGAAAUUCGUAGAUAUUAGAAAGAAUACCAAUUGCGAAGGCAGCUUUCUGGAUCAUUACUGACACUGAGGAACGAAAGCAUGGGUAGCGAAGAGGAUUAGAUACCCUCGUAGUCCAUGCCGUAAACGAUGUGUGUUAGACGUUGGAAAUUUAUUUUCAGUGUCGCAGCGAAAGCGAUAAACACACCGCCUGGGGAGUACGACCGCAAGGUUAAAACUCAAAUGAAUUGACGGGGACCCGCACAAGUAGUGGAGCAUGUGGUUUAAUUCGAAGAUACGCGCAGAACCUUACCAACACUUGACAUGUUCGUCGCGACUCUAAGAGAUUAGAGUUUUCGGUUCGGCCGGACGAAACACAGGUGCUGCAUGGCUGUCGUCAGCUCGUGUCGUGAGAUGUUGGGUUAAGUCCCGCAACGAGCGCAACCCUCACUUUUAGUUGCCAUCAUUAAGUUGGGCACUCUGAAAGAACUGCCAGUGAUAAGCUGGAGGAAGGUGGGGAUGACGUCAAGUCCUCAUGGCCCUUACGUGUUGGGCUACACACGUGCUACAAUGGUAUCUACAACAGGAAGCAAAACGGCGACGUUAAGCAAAUCCUUAAAAGAUACCUCAGUUCGGAUUGCACUCUGCAACUCGAGUGCAUGAAGCUGGAAUUACUAGUAAUCGUGGAUCAGCGUGCCACGGUGAAUGCGUUCCCGGGUCUUGUACACACCGCCCGUCACACCAUGGAAGUUGGUUACACCUUAAGGCAAAGCUUAUACCUUUGACUACGGUACGAUCAGCAACUGGGGUGAAGUCGUAACAAGGUAACC
rnacentral:rRNA from 1 species